AGCCUGGGUUUCCUUGUGUGUGAGUUACAGUGCCUUCCCCCUCAGUCCCGUGCGAGGACUCACAAGAUCAGUCCUGCCAAGUGCUUAGCGCUACCGUGUCGGUGGACUGGGAGCCAUGACUGUCCUAAAACGUCUUCAGCCGGAACGCCAACCCGCACGCACGUCCCCCGACGUCUCCAAACCUCAGGUUGUCCCCAUAAAGCGGCCACUCUUCCGAAAGCCGCGCCCUGCUAACAGCGUGUUUGCAAGUGGCCGUCGGCUUUCGAACGUUCCCGAGAAGUUAGCAAAGGCGCUGAGGGACUUUGGCGGCGAAUUUCUGGGGGCUGGUGCGGGGAGGAUGUUUACCAGAGCACAAAGGCCAGGUCCUGAGCAGAGAACAUUUUGGCCCAGAUAGAUCCCGGAGAAGGCAUUUUUUUGCCAAGCGCAGUCUCCAUUCCCAGGUCCUGAAGUCAGCGUUAGAAGCUAAACAAACCUUCCCGGGUUCACAUGUGUUUACUUUUGGCAAAAUGCAACUUCCCGUUUGAGAGGAAAAGGGCAGUAAAGCUUCCUAUAGCCUCCUCGGACAUAAGGUCUCUCCUCAAAACAACUGAUACGUUAAGCGUAAAUGAAUCAACCGUACACACUGAGAAUCUCCCGUCCCCUCAAAACGUUCACGUUUGAAAUGGGGAACACGCUCGACAAAACCAAAACAAAUAUUUUUUCAACUGCUGGCCCAUGAGGAUUGUUUAGGCCAUUUCUUCUUCUGAGAGCAAGAAAAAGAGACCUCAGGAGGGAGCCAAGUUACAUGUGCUGUGUCAGAGAAGUCACUCCAACACGCUUGGGGGUUGAGAUUUCUCUUACACAGAAAGUCAGAAAGUUUAAGUUCCCACAGCCACUCAAACCACAUUCCCCAGCCUGAAUACAGAACAACUCAGUCUUUCAUUAUAUGACUCUGUCCCCAGCCACAGCCCGUAGAGCCCCGAAUUCCCUUGGAUGGUCCCAUGCCCUGCACUUGGGGUUCGAAAACUGACUGACUGCUCUUCACAAAUCUACCAUCACCUUUUACAAGGACCCUAGAGAACUUCUCCUGCAGCUGGCCGGACAAUAUGCAGCGUGGUCCUCUCCCGCGGUGGGGCCGCAGCCUCCAGGCAGCCCGCCGUCCCGAGGGUCCACGACCGACACGCUGACGACCAUCCCGCACCCGCACGGCCAUCCCGGUUCUCACCGCAGCACAGCUCUCCGUCAGUCACAUGAGGCCGUCGGCACAGUGUUAUCCGACGGGCUCUGUGUUACGUGGGUCUGUGCACCUGCCGGCUAACGGAAGUGUGCUGAGCGCGGACGGUAAGCUUUGCGCCCAGUGUGGGGCUUGAGCUCACAGCCCCGAGAUCAAGAGUCCCUUGUUCUUCUGGUGGAGCCGGCCGGCACCCCUGUAAAUCCCAUUCUUGAGUGAUUUCAGUAUUCUCCUGCCUGGAAAGGGAAAUUCUUUCCUCCUCUAGGACGCUGGAUUUAAGAAGUGAAUAUGUGCAUACUCCACACACUCCUUCGACCCUAGGGUCUGACCUGACACUUAUAAAACGAGACGGCAGUUAUGACGGGAGAUAUCACCACCCCCCCCACACACACACAAUGCUGCCGGUUCUCUUCCUACCAACCAAGGCUAACCAAACCCAUCAGUGACUUAAACCUCGGGUGACAAUGGCUGUAACCUACCUCCCCGUCUCAUCCACACGCUCCCUACUGAAGGGGACCUCUCCUAGCUUUUGGACUCAGCGAGAUCUUUCGUUACUUUCACUACAUCACGCUCAGGGGCAUGCCGUGGUCUCUGUGUGGCAUAUGCUUCGCUAUCGCUGUGAUCACCGUGACCACCCCCACCACGACAGCCACCAACCCCCACCACCGUGUCCAUUCCAAACCAACAUCACCAGCACGAACAGCCCUGCCCCUCUGCCACCUUUACCACCCAGUGACCAUCAUCUCGCCACGAUUCUCUCAAACUGGGGGAGAAAAAGUCGUCCUCCCCCGCCUUGGAGCCAGCUCAAAUGGAACCCCCUACACGCCUCCGGAGUUUGGAGCAAAGCCCCUCUCUGAGCUCCUACAGUUGCUCGUUCUCAACCAUGGAGCUGGAGUAGGGUUUCCAGUAGCUCGUGUCCUCUGCCGGACCCUGAAUCCCUGACUGAAAGGAAAUAUUUAGAGUCUGAACACAGGUCACAGAGCAAUAAGGGUCAAGAGGAAGGAAAUGUGUGAGGACCGGUGACCCAGAGAGCAGAGUGGGGGUGUAUCUGCCCAAGCAAAGACCAGAGGGCUUCAAGAGUUACUGACUUUGCCCCUCAGCAGAGCCUUAGUGUGACUGCUUUUAUGGCCUGCCUCUCCCACCUGUCCAGGUUUCUCACUUUCGUUCAACUAUUCAUUUAACAAAAUCAUAAGUCACCUGUCCAGGGGCACCUGGCUGGUUCAGUUGAUGGAGUGUGUGACUCUCGAUCUCGGGCUUGUGGGGUUCGAGCCCCACUUUGGGUGUAGAGAUUACUUACAAAUUAAAAAUCAAUAAAUAAAAUAUAGAAAAACGGAGCACCUGUGGGGUACCAAGAUGCCAGGUAUGCUGGGGAGAUAACCAAUGAGACCACUCUCACACAGGAGUAGGACAGUUUGGGGGCGGGAUUGCACGGGAAGGGUGUUGUAGGGUCAAGGAAGCCUCCAAAAGGAAGUGAGGUUUAGACUGGGGUCCGACAGCCGGCUAAGGGCUGGCCAGGUAAGGAGAGACGAGUUCGUGAUGUGGACACCGAUCUCUUUAGUUUUUUGAACACACUGAGCUUAUUACCAUCCAGUCCCUGGAAAUUUCCAUUCCCGCUAUCUGGAAUGCUGUGCUUCCCCAUCUUUACGUGGAUGGCUUCUGUUCACUCAGGCUUUAUCUCGGAUGUCACCUUCACAGAGAAACCUGCCCUAACUACCCCACCCGAGGGAUCCCCUUUCCAAACACUCUCUAGCAUGGUGCUCCUCAAACAUGAACGUGUGUAGGAAUCAUGGGGAUGGUGACGGGGAUCUGGUUAAAGUGCAGACUCUGAUUCGGGCGUCUCCUGAGAUUCUGCAUCGUAACAAGCUCAUUGUCAAUGAUACGCCAGCGAUAUGAUGCUGCUGACCCAGGGGCCAUGCUACGGGCAGCUCUAGCUGCAACAUAUCGUCCUGUCUGCUUUUAAGGGCUGCAAAAGCCCUUAACACUGCAAAAUCUCCUUGUUCGUUAACUUUUUCUAUUUAUUUAUUUUCUCCUACCCACUAGGCCUCUAGCCUAGCUAGACAUCAGCCCUCCAUGACAGACCAGCAUAGGAAACCUUGAGUAUCAGCCAAUGUCAUGAGUGUGGGUCAGCGUGAGCCAGGGGUCCACAGUUCCUGCCUCAUUAUUCCGCCCCCCAGCAGCCACCCUGAGCUCCUCUCAGUGCCGGGAACGCUCCGUCCUUUCCUGCUCUGUUUCCAGGGUAAGCCCUCGGUGUUUCCGGUCCCAGCUACCCUCUCACCUGAACCUUGCCCCAGUGGAAUUCUUGUACUCUAUACCAUCGUUCCUUUAGUCUGUCUGGCUUCUACUAGGCCCCACGGGCAACAGCUCUUGAAAUCGUUCUUGAACAAGCUUCUCUCUGGUGAGAUCACGCGUCUCAUUCUGCUGCUGCUCAAUGAGCCUUUCAGUCGGGGGUGGGGCACACUUUCCAUUUUCUCAUUUUCCUUUUUUCUGGCCACCGUCUUCUUCCUCCCUGACCCCCGUGGGCACAGAUCAUCCCUUCCAAGCAGAGGAGCAUCACCUCAAGGUCAAGUGCGGUGCUUGGACCGUAGAACUCCAGGGCACAGACAGGAUCCCGGUCCCUGGAGACCGAAGGCUGAACCACAGAGGGAAGUCGGGCCCCACACAGGAAGAGCGAUAACCUCCCAACGCAGGACACAGAGAGUGCACGCGGGGCCACACAUGAGUGAGAUGGGCUCAGAAAGUCCAUUUCCUCACCCCACACGGCCCUCUGGCUUCUCCUCACCAACUAUGCCUUCUUGGCCCCUUCUACGGCAGUUCUCCCCCUCGCCCUAACUGUUGACGUGAUCUGCGUUUAGCCUUGUUUCCUUCCACCUUUAUCCUGUCCUGCUCUUAGAAAUCCCAGCCCUUCACAAGACCUUAAAUAGUAUCUCUACGCUGUCAGCUGCCUGAUUUCGGUCUUUAUUCCAGAUAGGAAGGAUCCGUCAACAACAGGAUCGUGUAAUCGACUAUUGGGUUAAUAUCAUCACCUAGAUGUCUUACGCUUAACAUAUGCAAGACGUCGCAAGCUUAACAUAUUGCAGACCUGUCUGUCUCUGUCUGUCUGUCUGUUUCUCACUCACUCACUCGCACACAUACAAACACAUACAUGUAUUGACACACAUCACCCCCGUUUAAAUUUCGCUCCUCACCCAGUUUUCCAAUUACCUACUUGCUCAGGGCCACAAAAAACCCUCAAACUAUCUGAUGCUCCUUCCUUGCUUCCCCUACGUCCAACCUGAAUCCGUUAGAAUACGCUUGGGAGGAGAUGAACAGAACGUAACUUGCAAUGAUUUAACCACAUGAGAGUCUGAUUACGCUUCUCGCAAAUGAAGGCCAAAGAGAGGUAGUCCGGGGUACGGCGGAGGCCCCAGAAUGUUAUCAGAGAUCUGUCUCCUAACUUUCUGCUUCCCGACGGGCCACUGUCCUCACGCUCGCUGCCCCUUGUCCGCAAGACAGCUGCUGUACCCACACCAGUGUCUGCAGCCAGGGCAGGAAGGAGGGGAGUAGCAAAGGGAAAAAGAUUACUUGACAGCUGAAUAUCCAGUAAAACCUCGGAUUGCCAGUGACUUGUUCUGCGAAUGUCCCGCAAGACAAGCAAACAUUUCUAAUAAAUUGUAACUUUAUAAACAAGCCGUGCCUUGCAAUACGCGUCGUACGGGAUGCCCAACGUCACAGGAUCGGAGCUGAGCCAAUGGUUUCUUGAAAUUCGCCUUGGUAGACGGGUGCUUUAGAUGACAAGCCUGUUUCUGGAACGAAUCAUGCUCGCAAACCAAGGUUUUACUGGACUUUCUCUUAAAGAGCUUUGCAAGACUCCCUGACCAGCAACUCCCUCUGAUGUCUUGUUGACUAGAACCGUAUCGCAUGGCCUCGCUUAGUUGCAACAGAAGCUGGAAAAUACAGAUUAUUCUUUUAAUUAGGUACAUUGUCACCCCCCAAAACAUUUCUAUUAUAGACGUUAUAUAAUUUACAUUAUGUACCAUUAAAUUAGUGAGGAGCAAGGGGAGAGUGGAUAUUGGGAAAUCAGUCCGAAGUAUCUGCCACAAAACCCCUCAACAAGUCAUUAUUCCUACCUCCCAAGAUAUCACAAAUUCAUCCCUUUGUCUGCACUGCCACCAGCACAUGUCCCUCCUUUCUACAAGUCACUGCGAUAGCUGCUUAAGUGACUUUGAUUCUCUGAUUGCAGGUCUCCGAUUCUUUUCACACCACAGGCCGGAGUCAUCCUUUAAAAGCGUGUAUCACAUCAUGUAAUUCUUCUGUUGACAUAAUUCUUGUGUUGCCCUCUUACCUGCCACUGCACGUAGACUACAACCCGGGCACCCAUCCUAACCCACAGACCCUGUAUGAUUUCACCCCUACUUGCCGCCUCUCCGGUUUGUUUGCAUUGCACUGUUUACUCAUCCACCCGUGCAUUCGUUCCCGGAAAUGGAUUCAUCGAGCGCCUACUAGGUCGUAAGCACUGCUUUAGGCACUGGGGAUAAAGUAGCAAACAAAUGAGACAAAAGCGCCCUCCUUCGCGGAGCUCACACUCCAAUGGAGGGAAACAAAAUACCCAAAAUAGGUGAGUGAGAGACUUAGGGUGUUGGGUGGUCAUAGCCAUUCACCCUACUCCAGCCUCACUAACUUCCUCCAUCAUUCUGACUCUUCUCACUGAGGGGCUCAUCUGCCCCAAAUAUUCUUUCCUCAGCAGCCCCACUGCCCUUCACUUGCAUCCUGUGGUAUCGGCUUGAAGGUCGCUUCUCCAAAGAAGCUUUCUCGGAACAUCUGUUCUAAAAUGGGGCCACCUCGGUAUUCUCCUUUGUGGCACUUACCACGCUUCGAAAUUGGAUGGAUGGACAGAUAAUGCGUGAGUUCAUACGUUUACUUGUCUCUCACACCGAAAAUUCACUUCUGCAAUUGCAGAGACCCUGUCAACUUGAUUCCAGCCCCAGGGCUUAGAACAUCCAGUGCCUGACACAUGGAAAGCUUAAUAAAUAUUUGUUGAUGGAUGAGUAAAUCAGUGAGUGAGUGAAGCGGAUGGGACAGGGUCCUUUGAAAAGUAAUAUGAGUAGACGAUAAGCAGAGAGAGAGAGGGAAAAAGUCUUUCUUAAAGGGAAUGAAGUGGGCAAAGACAGAGAGGCAGAAAUCGGGUUGGUCUGCAGGGCAGUUGGCAAUUUGGGACCAGAAUCUCCAAGAGGAGGGGCGCCUGGGUGGCUCAGGUUGGUUGAGCAUAUGACUCUUUUGUUUUUGUUUUUGUUUUUGUAAUGUUUAUUUAUUUUUGAGAGAGAGAGAGAGAGAGAGAGAGAGAAACAGAAAGACAAAGUGUGAGCAGGGGAGGCGCAAAGAGAGAGGGAGACACAGAAUCCGAAGCAGGCUCCAGGCUCUGAGCUGUCCGCAUGGAGCCUGACACGGGGCUCGAACUCACGGACCGCAAGAUCAUGACCUGAGCCGAAGUCGGAUGCUCAACCGACUGAGCCACCCAGGCGCCCCAGCAUAUGACUCUUGAUUUCGGCUCAGGUCAUGAUCCCAGGGUCAUGCGGUCGAGCCCCACGUCAGGCUCCACGCUGAGCAAGGAGCCUCCCUCUGCCUCUCUCCUGUACUUUCUCUCUCUAAAAUAAAAAAUAAUCAUAAUAAUAAAUAUAAAAAAAUUUUUAACGGAAAACAAGCACCCCUUCACAGACCAGCACCACAUGUCCUUGGAACAACAUGCACACCCAACCCAAAGUCACCACAACAAGCCACCUGGAAAUCCAAAGGCAAGAUAAGUCCACAUGGAAUUACCCCAUGCUUGGCUUACAAAUAGCUUCUUUCUUGCUACCAGCUUAAUAUAUUUUUU